rnacentral:misc_RNA from 1 species
UCAAACUUGGUCAUUUAGAGGAAGUAAAAGUCGUAACAAGGUAACCGUAGGUGAACCUGCGGUUGGAUCAUUACUGAUUUAUGAGGUUUGACUGUGGUCAAAUCGUCUACACCUUGUGAAUUGUAAUUGUAUUUGGCAAGUGAUGCAAUGCAAUCUGACUUGCAGAGUUUCCCCCUUGCCACUGGGCUCGGGGAAAGCUUGUCACAGGUUUUAUAGACAAAAUUGCUUUGUGAGCCUGAAUCAAAUACGAGUUUGAAUAUGAAACAACUUUUGGCAACGGAUCUCUUGGCUCUCGCAUCGAUGAAGAACGCAGC